rnacentral:lncRNA from 1 species
AUAGCAACGGGCAGCCGGAAGAUGCGGCCAUUCCUCUCCCUUUUGUCCAUUGCAUUUCAGCAGCGCCCGCGCACAUGGACGCUCCAAUUACAGCUCUAGAGGCUAGAAAUUGGCAGUCAGGAUGUGUGUAAGGCCACGCUCCCUCUGAAGACUCCAGGGGAGGAUCUUUCCUUGCCUCCUCCAGCUUCUGGUGGCUGCCAGCAUCCUUGGCAUUCCUUGGCCUGUGGACACAUCACUCUCAUCUCUGCCCAUGGUCACAACCCCAAGCUCCAGAAUACAGACCAGCAGGCGAGGAGACAAGGAGGCAAGCAGAUGGAUGGUGGAACAAAGUGGCAGAGAAAGAGAGAAGAGGAGAGAUGUCUGGACGCCAAGAGGAGUCUGGCUGGGGCCAGUCAGAGAAGAGUCCAGCGGCUGGGCAGCCCGACUCCAGGGGAAGAUCACCUUCCCACUCCAUCCCCCUUCACGCUCCCCAUCCAUCUCACUAAGAGCCAUCUCUACCACUCAAUAAAACCUUGCAUUCAUCCUUCAAA